rnacentral:rRNA from 1 species
UACAGAGGGGGCAAGCGUUAUUCGGAAUUAUUGGGCGUAAAGGGCGCGUAGGCGGCCUGGCAAGUGACGGGUGAAAGCCCUCGGCUCAACCGAGGAACUGCCUGUCAUACUGCCGGGCUUGAGUCCGGGAGAGGUGAGUGGAAUUCCCAGUGUAGCGGUGAAAUGCGUAGAUAUUGGGAGGAACACCAGUGGCGAAGGCGGCUCGCUGGACCGGAACUGACGCUGAGGCGCGAAAGCGUGGGGAGCAAACAGG